GACGAACGCUGGCGGCGUGCUUAACACAUGCAAGUCGAACGAUGAAGCCGGAGCUUGCUCUGGUGAAUUAGUGGCGAACGGGUGAGUAACACGUGAGUAACCUGCCCUUGACUCUGGGAUAACUGCUAGAAAUGGUAGCUAAUACCGGAUACGACCCUCGGAGGCAUCUCCAGGGGGUGGAAAGAAUUUCGGUCAAGGAUGGACUCGCGGCCUAUCAGCUAGUUGGUGAGGUAACGGCUCACCAAGGCGACGACGGGUAGCCGGCCUGAGAGGUUGACCGGCCACACUGGGACUGAGACACGGCCCAGACUCCUACGGGAGGCAGCAGUGGGGAAUAUUGCACAAUGGGCGCAAGCCUGAUGCAGCAACGCCGCGUGAGGGAUGACGGCCUUCGGGUUGUAAACCUCUUUUAGUAGGGAAGAAGCGAAAGUGACGGUACCUGCAGAAAAAGCACCGGCUAACUACGUGCCAGCAGCAGCCGCCG
rnacentral:rRNA from 1 species